GAUGAACGCUGGCGGCGUGCCUAAUACAUGCAAGUCGAGCGAACGGACGAGAAGCUUGCUCCUCUGACGUUAGCGGCGGACGGGUGAGUAACACGUGGAUAACCUACCUAUAAGACUGGGAUAACUUCGGGAAACCGGAGCUAAUACCGGAUAAUAUUUUGAACCGCAUGGUUCAAUAGUGAAAGACGGUUUUGCUGUCACUUAUAGAUGGAUCCGCGCCGCAUUAGCUAGUUGGUAAGGUAACGGCUUACCAAGGCAACGAUGCGUAGCCGACCUGAGAGGGUGAUCGGCCACACUGGAACUGAGACACGGUCCAGACUCCUACGGGAGGCAGCAGUAGGGAAUCUUCCGCAAUGGGCGAAAGCCUGACGGAGCAACGCCGCGUGAGUGAUGAAGGUCUUCGGAUCGUAAAACUCUGUUAUUAGGGAAGAACAAAUGUGUAAGUAACUAUGCACAUCUUGACGGUACCUAAUCAGAAAGCCACGGCUAACUACGUG
rnacentral:rRNA from 1 species